rnacentral:lncRNA from 1 species
UUGCAUUCUUCAAUUCAGCUUGGUUCAUCUCUUAUCGUCGUCAUCCCUUUGAUUCGUUCCUCACCAUUUGAUUUUGUCUGCAAUCAAGGCCAUAUGGAAGAUUCGGUCGUCUUUUUAUUGAUUUCAAUCGGGUUUGUUUGUUGCUAUGGGUUCAUUCUAUUAAUCAGUUCCUACCUCCCGGUUUGUAAAGGCAUUUUUGUUUUAAUCGAUUAUGUUAGAUCCAUGUAUCUCGAUCUAAAUCUCCCCCUCUCUUGGAAACGAAACCAUUGUUGUCUUAAUGGUAAGAUCAGGUUCAUCACUUAGGGUCCCAAAGGGUGUGACAGUAUUUUACUCAUCUGACAGACCCAAUUUUAAUCUCUCAUUCAUUCGAAGCGAUUACAAUCAAAUAUUGUGUGAUUCCCCGGAAGUUAUUUGA